GCUGGGCAGAUUCCAGAGCCCUCAUCUGCACCCUUUACACUUCAUUCCUGAACACGAAUCAGACGCCAUUUCGACCAUUGUGACAGUUUUUUUUUUUUUUUUUUUUCUUCAUGCUCGGGCAGUCAUCACAAAGCGCGUGGGAACCAUUGUCGCAAGGUUUUGUUCCCUUCUUGACUCUAAUUGGGAAAACAAAGGCCCUCCGUGUGUGACACAGAUUGACCUGGCGGUACGACGUUCAUCUUACUCAUUUUGGUUGAAGGUUUCUUUUUUUCCAGACAACGGAACACAGAUUGAGAUGUUCAAAAGACGGCGAGGAAAGAUGGCAAUUGUUGCAUAAUGUAUGCCCCCACCGCCCUCCCCACAUGCACACGCAAAGACUGUCUGACUUCUUUCUCGUAUCCAACCUGAACGUGACCUGACGGUAGAGGAACGGUUGCAUGAAGUGACCUGCUACCGCACCAGUUGGACGGCCUGAAAAUUAAGAUUUGGCAUAAUGUUUUGUCAGCAAAAGACUUAAAUUUGCUUCUUCUGUGUUGACGGGCAUUUGAGUGGGAAUCAAGAUUUGACCCAUGGCGUUAGCUUCUCCUGCUUGCUACGUGCCAUAUCUACCAAACUUUUUGUGUCCAAAUCAACUUUGAUUUGGCGUGCUGUUGAACAAGGGGAGAGGAUUGAGAUUACUGUUAGCUUCUUGCGCUAGCUACCUGGCUGGCUACGUGCCACAUGCUUGUGAUUAACAGUCGUGUUUUUUGUUCUUAACUUUGACUACAGUAUCUUUGUCUUGAUUGAGAAACUUUUUUUGUGAUCAAGGGAUUGUUUUGUGCGUCUGGGUCAGUGCGCUUUUGCUGAGUAAAGGUGGCGAUUGCCGUGUUAGUUUUUUGCGCUUGCUGCCAUAUGCUUGUGAUCAAAAGGAAGCAUUUUGAACCACCAGUAAUUUGACUGCAUUUUAUU